GACGAACGCUGGCGGCGUGCUUAACACAUGCAAGUCGAACGGAAAGGCCCUGCUUUUGUGGGGUGCUCGAGUGGCGAACGGUUGAGUAACACUUGAGUAACCUGCCCUUUACUUUUGGAUAACUUCAGGAAACUGGGGCUAAUACCGGAUAGGAGCUCCUGCUGCAUGGUGGGGGUUGGAAAGUUUCGGCGGUUGGGGAUGGACUCGCGGCUUAUCAGCUUGUUGGUGGGGUAGUGGCUUACCAAGGCUUUGACGGGUAGCCGGCCUGAGAGGGUGACCGGCCACAUUGGGACUGAGAUACGGCCCAGACUCCUACGGGAGGCAGCAGUGGGGAAUAUUGCACAAUGGGCGGAAGCCUGAUGCAGCAACGCCGCGUGCGGGAUGACGGCCUUCGGGUUGUAAACCGCUUUCGCCUGUGACGAAGCGUGAGUGACGGUAAUGGGUAAAGAAGCACCGGCUAACUACGUG
rnacentral:rRNA from 1 species